CCUGGAUGAUUCUGCCAGUAGUCAUAUGCUUUUCUCAAAGAUUAAGCCAUGCAUGUCUAAGUAUAAACACGUUAUACUGUGAAACUGCGAAUGGCUCAUUAAAUCAGUUAUAGUUUAUUUGAUGGUUUUUGCUACAUGGAUAACUGUGGUAAUUCUAGAGCUAAUACAUGCGUACAAGCCCCGACUUCUGGAAGGGGUGUAUUUAUUAGAUAAAAAUCAACACUGUUGGUGAAUCAUGAUAACUUCUCGGAUCGCAUGGCCUCGUGCUGGCGAUACUUCAUUCAAAUAUCUGCCCUAUCAACUGUCGAUGGUAGGAUAGAGGCCUACCAUGGUUGCAACGGGUAACGGGGAAUAAGGGUUCGAUUCCGGAGAGGGAGCCUGAGAAACGGCUACCACAUCCAAGGAAGGCAGCAGGCGCGCAAAUUACCCAAUCCCGACACGGGGAGGUAGUGACAAUAUGUAACAAUAUACGGCUUUAUCGUCGUAUAAUUGGAAUGAGUACAAUUUAAAUCCCUUAACGAGGAACAAUUGGAGGGCAAGUCUGGUGCCAGCAGCCGCGGUAAUUCCAGCUCCAAUAGCGUAUAUUAAAGUUGUUGCAGUUAAAAAGCUCGUAGUUGGACCUUGGGCCUGGACGGGCGGUCCGCCUCACGGCGUGUACUGUCUUGCCGGGCCUUUCCUCUUGGUGAUCUGUUGUUUCGGCAGCAUGGAACCAGGACCUUUACUUUGAAAAAAUUAUAGUGUUCAAAGCACGCUCGGCGCCAGAAUAUAUUAGCAUGCAAUAAUAAAAUACGACGUGCGGAUCUAUUUUGUUGGUUUUUGGAAUCGCCAUAAUGAUUAAUAG
rnacentral:rRNA from 1 species